GUUGACCUCGGAUCAGGUAGGGAUACCCGCUGAACUUAAGCAUAUCAAUAAGCGGAGGAAAAGAAACCAACAGGGAUUGCCUUAGUAACGGCGAGUGAAGCGGCAAUAGCUCAAAUUUGAAAGCUGGCCCCUUCGGGGUCCGCGUUGUAAUUUGUAGAGGAUGAUUCGGCGAGGGCUCCCGUCUAAGUCCCUUGGAACAGGGCGUCAUAGAGGGUGAGAAUCCCGUAUGUGAUGGGCUGCCUUAGCCAUGUGAAUCUCCUUCGACGAGUCGAGUUGUUUGGGAAUGCAGCUCUAAAUGGGAGGUAAAUUUCUUCUAAAGCUAAAUACCGGCCAGAGACCGAUAGCGCACAAGUAGAGUGAUCGAAAGAUGAAAAGCACUUUGGAAAGAGAGUUAAAAAGUACGUGAAAUUGUUGAAAGGGAAGCGCUUGCAGCCAGACUUGUCCGCAGUUGCUCAGCCCGUCUCCUGACGGGCGUACUCUUCUGCGGCCAGGCCAGCAUCAGUUCGGGCGGUCGGAUAAAGACCCGGGGAACGUAGCUCCUCCUCGGGGAAUGUUAUAGCCCCGGGUGCAAAGCGGCCAGCCAGGAUCUGAGGAUCGAUACACCUUCCGCUAGGAAGCUGGCGUAAUGGCUUGAAACGGCCGG
rnacentral:rRNA from 1 species